rnacentral:rRNA from 1 species
GGGGGAUGCGGAGGGAUCAUUACCGAGUUUACAACUCCCAAACCCCUGUGAACAUACCAUUUGUUGCCUCGGCGGUGCCUGCUUCGGCAGCCCGCCAGAGGACCCAAACCCUUGAUUUUAUACAGUAUCUUCUGAGUAAAUGAUUAAAUAAAUCAAAACUUUCAACAACGGAUCUCUUGGUUCUGGCAUCGAUGAAGAACGCAGCGAAAUGCGAUAAGUAAUGUGAAUUGCAGAAUUCAGUGAAUCAUCGAAUCUUUGAACGCACAUUGCGCCCGCCAGUAUUCUGGCGGGCAUGCCUGUUCGAGCGUCAUUUCAACCCUCAAGCCCCCGGGCUUGGUGUUGGAGAUCGGCGUGCCCUCCGGGGCGCGCCGGCUCCCAAAUAUAGUGGCGGUCUCGCUGUAGCUUCCUCUGCGUAGUAGCACACCUCGCACUGGAAAACAGCGUGGCCACGCCGUUAAACCCCCCACUUCUGAAAGGUUGACCCUCGGAUCAGGUAGGAAUACCCGCUGAACUUAAGCAU